ACCUGGCUAGCUCAGCUGGUAGAGCAUGAGACUCGUAAUCUCGGGGUCGUGGGUUUGAGCCCCAUGUUGAGCA
rnacentral:tRNA from 1 species